CCUACUAUGUGCCGGACACUGUUCUAGUCACUGGGGAUUCAGCAGUGAACAAAACAAAGCCUCUGUGCUCCUGGACCUAACAUUCUGGGGAAAGGGUAAAUGCAGGUAGUAAAGUACAUCAUGGUCAAGAUGGUGAUAAUCUAUGGAGACAGAUCACACUGGGAGUGGAGUAGGGAGGGAUUAGUGGAGUGUUCUGUGAACACUCAAGGAAAUCAGUUCAUAUGGACAUGUGUGGAAGGAGCAAUUUGGGAAGUAGGGACACGCAGUGUAGAUGCUGAGCAAGAAGCCAGGAUGGCUGCAGUUGGGGGUGGCAGAGAGGAGAUGAGAUAAAGACUGGGUUGGCAAAUGAUGUAGGAUUCUCUGACUUCAGAACCUGGGCUCUUGAAAGGAACAUGGGAUGAAGAUGCAGUAUGAGCACUGGGGUGCAUUCUAAGUUGUCAUAAGGUUGGCAAACGAAAAAGACUGUGAGCUUUUGCUCUUGAGAAAGGUUCCAGUAAGAUCCAAAGAAAGAAUCUUCGCAAAGGGGUGGAGGCUUCGCCAAGGCCCCCAGACCUCUACUUCAUCUGAAGCUUCAGGGUGGGUCACCUGAGGAUGCCUCUUUUAGGGAAGUGACUUCAAAUCAGCUUGGGAUUGGAGGAGACUCUCUGGGAGAUAAUCUGGCCCAGAGCUGCAAUACUGAGGACAAUUUCAUCAGCAUUGACAGUGCAUCUGAGGAGAGGCUGGUCACAGCAAACAAACCAUCACCCAGGACAACAGGAGUGAAGGCAGAGAGCAAGUCUGCACAGUAAGAUUAGCUUGUACAAAAACACUGCUCAACCAACUCAGCUCUGCUCACUGCACUCAUCAGAAUAUGAAUGCCACAGCCCAUGUUGGAGUCAGUUGCAAAACUCAUCUGCAGUUAGACAUCCUAAGACUCAACCCAUACCACUGACUGAUAUGGAAACUGAGGCCCAGCAAGGGAAACUAAUGAACAUCCCAUCAAACACCAAGGGAGGGGCUGAACCAGGAUGGAAACUUAGCUCUGGCCAAACCAUCAUUCUAGACAGUUAUUCCUAGAGUUAAAAAAAAGAAGAAAUUUCACAGAAUUCCCAGGUUUGCAGAAAAGCCACUGAUUGAGCUGCUGUGUUUGUGUCCAUGCAAGCAACUGCAGCCACCUCUACAAUUCAGUUUAGUGACUUUAUUUAUUUAUUUAUUUAGGCAACCUGGCCAUUCAACAUCUGCCUCUUGGAGGGCCCUGUGGAAAACUGUGUGGCCAUAAUGUGAGCCACUCCCAAGAGAAAGGUUCUUAGUCAGCAAAGGUGGUCACGCUAGUUGGAAGAGUCAAAAGGAAUUAAACUCCUGUCCCAUGAUCUUUAGAUCUAACAGAGGCACUGGUUCCCUCUUUCAAAGCUUUUUGUAGGAAGGCCUGUCAUUUGUGAGGCUCUCUGGCUUCAGGCUUCUGCCUAUCUUCUGCGAGGCACUGAAUCCCAAAAGAAGUGGAAAGUGGUUGGUCGGGGACAGUGGUGUGCUGGUAGACCCGCUCUCUGGGGGAUGGUAAAGGAAAGCCUUGGUUUCCUGCAUUUGCCCGAUAUCUGUGGUGCAAAUACUUUCCCCAUGGUGGCUUUCAAGCUACCAAGGAUUCACAACCGGCUCACAGAAUUCCUGAAAAUUUAACAAUCCACUCUCAUGCGCCUGCUGCAGCCAUUUCCAGCCCACCUCUGUAGCUCUCUAAACAGCAGGGCCUCAUGGAUGAGACUAGAGAGGGGAGAUGUAGCUGGCUCUGUUUAAUUCUGUGAGGUCAAACCACACCUGGGAGGGUGUGUCUGGUUUCAAAGCCUACAUUGUAAGAGGAACAUAGGCACACUGAAAAUUGUUUGAUUUGGGCAAGAAGCAAUUUCGUCUGAAAAGCCCACCGGGAGACCUAUUGCUGGAAUGAGAAUCCAGGGGAAGAAAAACACAGGGUAUCCUGGCCAUUGUUUCCAAAUCUCUGUGGGGCUGUAAGGGCCCUGAGUGCACCUGAGAAUGCUGAAAAGAAAAGCCAAGUUCACGGACAAAAAAAGAAUCACCCAAGCUGCUUUCACCUGCCUGCGAUUUCCCAGGAAGCCAGUUUGUCUUUAAGAAGUGAGACCCAUUUGAGAAUGAGUAAUGUCUUAGGCUCUUUAGUCUAAUGCUUAGAGAAUUCCACUUUCUUCUUUCGCUCGGCCUCCCCCUGAGCUCCCCUUUCUCUGUCCCCAACUCCAUUUUAUUUAAUCUUUCUAAAUGGAUAUUGUAGCCUCAGGGACUAAAAGAAUGACACAUGGAUAAACAGGAACUAAGCUCCUAAGCUUUUCCCCUACCUGCCAUCUUCCUCACCACGCAUGAGGAUUAGAAGCAUCACAAAGAAAGCAGUCUCGGAAGUUUGUCAAAUAGAGAUUUCUGGGUGAUGGUUUGGGAAAGGAUGAUUUAGAUCGUGCCUCUCCUGGGUCGGGAAAGUGACUGAAACACAUAACAGCAGAGAACUUGAAGUGCUGGUUUGAGCUUCAGGAGAUGUGAGUUCUAGCCCCAGUGCUGCCUGUGAUUUUCUCUGUGACCUGGGACAAGUCCCUUGUGGAUACGACAGGAUAUGCGGGCUACAGGGAUCUCUGAGGCUUCUCCCAGUGAACUUCUCUCAUAUUCUACAUCUUAAGACAAUGGAUAUAUUUUCUCAAACUGGUCAGACAGUUAAAGAGUCAUCUUACAGAUUAUAAAAUAUAUACAUGGCAAGAGAACCAGGACAAUGACUGACUAUGUGACUAUGACUAUGUGACUAUGACCGUAAGACACUAUGAAUGGCUCUUUCUUCCCUAAGCCUGCAUCUGGCUUCAGACCCUUCUCAGCAAGAAGCUCCAGAAAGCUACUAAUGAUUGAUCAAGAUUAAAUGCAACUUGAAAACGAUUUUCCAUCCUUGCUUUAGAUUUCAUCACCAUUUGAAGUUAGUUGUCUAAUUUCCUAA
rnacentral:lncRNA from 1 species